ensembl:lncRNA
GUAAGAUACUUAAGACUGCAGCCUGCCGGCGCCAAUAGCAGGGCACCUUCAUGCAGGGGCUCUGUCUGUGUUUCAGGCUCAGAUUACUUAAAGAGCCUUAGUAAGCCAGUCUCCUUCCCUGUGUCUGCCUUCGUCAGCUUGUAUUUUGGCCUUUCUCAUGUUAUCUCAAGUCCUUCUUGUGUGGCAUGCUCAGUAGCUUUAGUUGCAUCUGACUCUGCCCCCCAGGCUCCUCUGUCCAAGAGAUCCUCCAGGCAGGAAUACUGGAGUGAGUUGCUAUGUCCUCCUCCAGGGGCUCUUUCCAACUCAGGGAUCAAACCUGCAUCUCUUAUGUCUCCUGCAUUGGCAGUGCUGCUUGGCCGGCAGGAUCUUAGUUCCCUAACCAGGGAUGGAACCUGUGCCCACUUCAGUGGAAGCAUAGAGUCUUAACCAUUGGACCACCAGGGAAGUCAAAAAAGUGGACAUCCUUGAGCCCCACUGACAGCGAUUCACAUGGUCUUCAUUGCUGCUGGAGGACUCCAUAGUUGCAGCGCUUGGGCUUAGUUGCCUGAUGACAUGUGGGAUCUUAGUUCCCUGAACCUGUGUCCCCUGCAUUGGAAGACAGAUUCUCGGCCACUGGACAAGUGGGAAGCCCCAUUGUUUAUUUUAGAUUAGAUCCUAAAUCUACUGUCAUAAAGGAAUGUCAUGCUGC